UGGGGAAUAUUGCACAAUGGGCGAAAGCCUGAUGCAGCAACGCCGCGUGAGUGAUGAAGGUCUUCGGAUUGUAAGCUCUGUCUUUUGGGACGAUAAUGACGGUACCAAAGGAGGAAGCCACGGCUAACUACGUGCCAGCAGCCGCGGUAAUACGUAGGUGGCGAGCGUUGUCCGGAUUUACUGGGCGUAAAGGGUGCGUAGGCGGAUGUUUAAGUGAGAUGUGAAAUACCCGGGCUUAACUUGGGUGCUGCAUUUCAAACUGGAUAUCUAGAGUGCAGGAGAGGAGAAUGGAAUUCCUAGUGUAGCGGUGAAAUGCGUAGAGAUUAGGAAGAACACCAGUGGCGAAGGCGAUUCUCUGGACUGUAACUGACGCUGAGGCACGAAAGCGUGGGUAGCAAACAGGAUUAGAUACCCUG
rnacentral:rRNA from 1 species